GACCAUGUCACCUUUAAAAAACCCUAGCCCCCUUUCCCUUUUAUUUUGCCUUCGUCCCCAACCUAGCCAUCACUCUACCUAUCAUCAUUAACCAACCUCCUACUCUGUCUACCGUCGUCGUUCACACCCCAUAUCUGUCGCCGUCCCCCUUCCCCUACCUUCUCUAGUCGCACCCAAACCACCUAGUCUCAGCCUUUGCCCCCACACCACCACGCACCCUCAGCCCCCACCUCGUCGCCCUCCUCACCAAACGAACCACACGCUGCACCCUAACCACGAUCUCGCCCCUCACCUCGUUGCCCCUCUCACCUUCGAGCCACACACACAGCUCACUGACCCCCUUUCCUCAUCUUUCUUCUUCUCACACAACCAGCCCCGUUCCACCACCACCCAUGCUGACCUCCACCGCGUGCC
rnacentral:lncRNA from 1 species